rnacentral:rRNA from 1 species
UACGUAGGGUGCGAGCGUUAAUCGGAAUUACUGGGCGUAAAGCGUGCGCAGGCGGUUUUGUAAGCCAGAUGUGAAAUCCCCGGGCUUAACCUGGGAAUGGCAUUUGGGACUGCAAAGCUGGAGUGCGGCAGAGGGGACUGGAAUUCCUGGUGUAGCAGUGAAAUGCGUAGAGAUCAUGAGGAAGACCAGUGGCGAAGGCGGGUCUCUGGACAGUUCCUGACACUGAGACACGAAGGCCAGGGGAGCAAACGGG